GGGACGCAUACCGCCUCCUUGCUCUUGUGCACAGACCGCGGCCAUGGUUUUACAAUUGUCCCAAGCAUACAAAUGAAAUGGUUUACAAUACACAGGUAGUCCUAAAGCCUGGGCUUGCACAAUAACAACUGUAAGGGCAAUAUAUGCAGCUAGCAUGUCUGGUGACCAGCAGACAUUUUCAGGGCUGUCAGAACGUACAGCCUCCCUUAGGAUUGAGUCAUAAUGGGAGCAUUCAGGGAUCCAUUGGUGGCAGUAAUUAAUCAUGCCGAGGAAGGUGAGCAACUCCUUCCGAAUAGUGGGUGUAGGAAUCCUCUGAAUGACCUCAAUACAUUUUGGACUCAAUUGUCUGGUGCCUAAAGCCAGAACAAAACCUAAGUAUUCAACCUUUGAUUUACACAAUUGCAUUUUGUGUUUAACAACCUUGUGACCUACAGUUGCUGACAGUAUCCACAGUGCUUGCCUCAUAGCUAGGGUUACAUAACAACAAAUCAUCAACAUUUUGCAAAAAGGACGGAACCAUGACCGGUGGUCCAUGUUUUUUUAGAGUAUGUUAGAGUACCAACGAAUAAACAGCUGGGGAAUCCACAUAGCCUUGGGUAAGCGUGUCCAGGUAAACUGACAGCCUUCAAAAAGUAAAAACCAUAAGUAGCUGUGUCUCUUGAUCAAUAGGUAUAGAAAAAAUGCAUUACUUAAAUCAAUGACAGUGAAGCAAG